UACGAAGGGUGCAAGCGUUAAUCGGAAUUAUUGGGCGUAAAGAGCUCGUAGGCGGCUUGUCGCGUCGGAUGUGAAAGCCCGGGGCUUAACUCCGGGUCUGCAUUCGAUACGGGCAGGCUAGAGUUCGGUAGGGGAGAUCGGAAUUCCUGGUGUAGCGGCGAAAUGCGCAGAUAUCAGGAGGAACACCGGUGGCGAAGGCGGAUCUCUGGGCCGAUACUGACGCUGAGGAGCGAAAGCGUGGGGAGCGAACAGG
rnacentral:rRNA from 1 species